rnacentral:rRNA from 1 species
GGCCAGACUCCUACGGGAGGCAGCAGUGGGGAAUAUUGCACAAUGGGGGAAACCCUGAUGCAGCGACGCCGCGUGAGUGAAGAAGUAUUUCGGUAUGUAAAGCUCUAUCAGCAGGGAAGAAAAUGACGGUACCUGAUUAAGAAGCCCCGGCUAACUACGUGCCAGCAGCCGCGGUAAUACGUAGGGGGCAAGCGUUAUCCGGAUUUACUGGGUGUAAAGGGAGCGUAGACGGUGAUGCAAGUCAGAAGUGAAAGCCCGGGGCUCAACUCCGGGACUGCUUUUGAAACUGUGUGACUGGAGUGUAGGAGAGGUAAGCGGAAUUCCUGGUGUAGCGGUGAAAUGCGUAGAUAUCAGGAGGAACACCAGUGGCGAAGGCGGCUUACUGGACUGUAACUGACGUUGAGGCUCGAAAGCGUGGGGAGCAAACAGGAUUAGAUACCCUCGUAUU